GAUCCUUGGAACCUUCCAAAAGAUGUUGCCAUUCUUUCAGAGCUAGUAUAAUAGACAACAAUUCUCUGUUACCAAUAUCAUAGUUACACUCCACUGGUGACAACUUUCUAGAAAAGAACCCACAAGGAUUUCUCUCCCUCUGAGAAAGAACCGCCCCUACCCCUGUCUCAGAGGCAUCUACCUCUAGUAUGAAGCGUUUUCUAGUGUCAAGAUGUACCAAUAUGUC